rnacentral:misc_RNA from 1 species
GGGAAGUUAUUAGCGCGAUUUCGAGAGGAUAAUAGUAAUAGUAGUAAUAAUAACAAUAGGUUAUGGUUGAUUGGUACAGCAACAUGUGAGACGUAUUUGAGAUGUCAAGUUUAUCAUUCUACUAUGGAAAACGAUUGGGAUCUUCAAGCUGUUCCUAUAGCUUCAAGAUCUCCUCAUCCAGGAAUAUUUCCAAGGCUUGGAAAUGAAAGAGUUCUUGGAAGUUCUUUGGAUCAUUUGAAUCCGCUGAAGAGCUUUGCUGGUCCGAUGCCUUCGCUACCGAGGCGUGUACCGGAGAAUUUAAAUCCGAGAUUGAGGACGUCGUGUUGCCCACAGUGCAAGGAGAAGUUUGAGCAUGAGUUGGCGAAACUUGCAUCAGAGUUUGAGAAUUCAUCAUCCGAAGCCAAAUCAGAAUCUCCUCCUCGACCUCAGUUGCCUCAAUGGUUGCAAAGUGCCAAGCUAAAGAAUGAUAGUAAAGCAACUGCUCUGUCACAGAUUAAGGAUCAAGGUCUUUUGCUGCAAAAGACUCAAGAACUUCAAAAGAAGUGGAACGAUACAUGUUUGCAACUUCAUCCUAAUUUCCAGCACAGUGUCGGGCUUCACAGAACAGUACCACCUGUUCUCUCUAUGCCAGGCUUAUAUAAUCCGAACCUGCUUUUGCGUCAACCUUUACAGCCCAAGCUUGUUCCAAGUAGAAGCCUGGGAGUGAGCCUGCAACUGAACACCACCCAAACGGCUAGCCGAUCUCCGGAGAAGGUAGCUACCCCUCCUGGAAGCCCUGUUAGGACCGACUUGGUUCUCGGGCCAAAACCAAGUGGAACUGGCCCGGAGAAAACUCUGGAAGAUCAAGCAAAGGACUUCCUCAGCUGCAUUUCUUCGGUGCCUCAGAACAAGUUACUCGACAAAUUUGCUAGUGCACUAGAUGCUGAUACGUUUAAAAGGCUUCUCAAGGGUCUAAUGGAGAAAGCUUGGUGGCAGCAAGAUGCAGCCUCUUCUGUUGCUUCUGCUGUGUCGAGGUGCAGAUUGGGCAAUGGGAAACAGCGGGGUGGUGCACCGAAGGGUGACAUAUGGCUGUUAUUCACGGGUCCUGACAGAUAUGCCAAGAGAAAGAUGGCAUCGGUUCUAGCAGAGCAAAUGUGCGGAAAUAGUCCUAUAAUGAUCUCCCUUGGCUCACAGCGAGAUGAUGAAGAGUCAGACGUAGGAUUCCGUGGUAAAACAGCUGUAGAUCGUAUUGCAGAGGCUGUUCGGAGGCAUCCACUUUCAGUUAUUAUGCUCGAGGAUAUAGACGAAGCAAAUGUGCUAGUUCGUGGGAGCAUAAAACGAGCCAUGGACAGAGGUAGGCUUACAGAUUCACAUGGCCGUGAGAUUAGUCUCGGCAAUGUUAUAUUCAUUCUUACUGGAAAUUGGUCUACAAUGAGCCCCGAGAGCUACAGGAAUGAGUAUCUGAUGGAAGAAAAGAAACUGGUCUCGCUAGCCAGUUCCGAUUGGCAGUUAAGGUUAACAGUUGGUGAAAAGAGCGCUAAGCGCAGAGCGAGUUGGUUGCAUGAUCAAGACAGACCUAGAAAAGAAUUAAAUCUAGGUCUCUCUUUCGAUCUAAACGAAGCAGCAGAGUUCGAGGAUUAUAGAACUGAUGGAUCACACAAUUCAAGUGAUCUAACUGUUGAGCGCGAAGAAGAUCCUCAUCUUGAAAACAGGCGAUUCUCAGUUACAUCAGUUCCUCACGAGCUCGUCAGCUCCGCGGAUGACACUAUCCCAUUCAAGCCAAUUGAAUUCCUGUUCGCUCGACGUGAGAUCCAGAAAACAAUCAGCAAGAAAUUCUCCAUGGUCAUCGUCGAUGACAAGGUCUCCAUCGAAGUUGAAGACGAGAUAGUAGACCGGAUCCUUGGUGGCUUAUGGCGUGGUCGAACAAGCCUAGAACAAUGGGUGGAGAAAGUUCUAGGUCCGAGUUUCGAUCAAAUCCAGCCCCGGCUACCCUCUUCCGAUGAAAACACUAUCGUUCGACUUCAGCUUGAACUUCUGCAUACAGACUCCAAUAGCCAUAACAAUGGAGAAUGUCUUCCUAGCAAAGUCACAAUAUUGGAAGAUGGACAGUAGUGAAAGUGAUAUUUUCCUCAUUCCACUUGGGUACAUUUUGUAUAUAGGGAAAAUUGUGUGGCUUUGGGACAAACAAAACAAGAUUAGAGGGGGUAAAGAAGCAAAAAAAAAAAAGAGUUAUUACCAAAAGAGUGAGAUGUUUAU